rnacentral:rRNA from 1 species
UCGACAGCCUGCGGCGUAAAGAGGGGUUAAGCCCCCCCCCCCUCCAACUAAAGCCAAACGCCCCCAAAGCCGUUAUACGCACUCCGAAGGGCAGAGGAUUCUCCACGAAG